rnacentral:rRNA from 1 species
GACGAACGCUGGCGGCGUGCCUCAUACAUGCAAGUAGAACGCACAGUUUAUACCGUAGCUUGCUACACCAUAGACUGUGAGUUGCGAACGGGUGAGUAACGCGUAGGUAACCUGCCUGGUAGCGGGGGAUAACUAUUGGAAACGAUAGCUAAUACCGCAUAAUAUUAAUUAUUGCAUGAUAAUUAAUUGAAAGGUGCAAUUGCACCACUACCAGAUGGACCUGCGUUGUAUUAGCUAGUAGGUGAGGUAACGGCUCACCUAGGCGACGAUACAUAGCCGACCUGAGAGGGUGAUCGGCCACACUGGGACUGAGACACGGCCCAGACUCCUACGGGGGGCAGCAGUAGGGAAUCUUCGGCAAUGGACGAAAGUCUGACCGAGCAACGCCGCGUGAGUGAAGAAGGUUUUCGGAUCGUAAAGCUCUGUUGUAAGAGAAGAACGGGUGUGAGAGUGGAAAGUUCACACUGUGACGGUAGCUUACCAGAAAGGGACGGCUAACUACGUG